CAGUCGCCACGGUAAUACGUAGGGUGCGAGCGUUAAUCGGAAUUACUGGGCGUAAAGCGUGCGCAGGCGGUUGUGUAAGACAGGUGUGAAAUCCCCGGGCUUAACCUGGGGACUGCGCUUGUGACUGCACAGCUAGAGUAUGGCAGAGGGGGGUGGAAUUCCACGUGUAGCAGUGAAAUGCGUAGAGAUGUGGAGGAACACCGAUGGCGAAGGCAGCCCCCUGGGCCAAUACUGACGCUCAUGCACGAAAGCGUGGGGAGCAAACAGGAUUAGAUACCCGCGUAGUCCCUGUCUCUUAUAC
rnacentral:rRNA from 1 species